rnacentral:lncRNA from 1 species
GAACAGGCCCCAAAGCCCUGCUCGCGGACUUCCGGCAGGAACUCAGCAGGUUUUCAACAGGACCCCUAGAGUGACCUCACCCUGAGGCCGGAGACCCCAGCACCGUCUCUCAGGGCCAUGCGUAGAAGUUCCUGUGGACUCCCUGGAGAUUUGGACAGUUGGAAGGGAGAGGAGGGCCUUGUCCUCUUGGGAGCCCAGCCUGCUUUCUCCAGGGUGUUUUUCACCUGGCUUUUUUCUCUUUUCCUUGGCCCAAGCUCGCUCUGCAGAGCCAGUUCCGACCCCACUCUUCCCUUGCACUUUCUCGAAUAAACUUAGCCCCUGCUUUUGGCUUGUUUUGUUCAAGUCUUUGUUGGAGAUGAGAAGAACCUGGGAUCUAGCUCCGGAGGGAGAGGCGAGCGACCCAGAACCCGGCAGUGUUUUGUUGGUGAGCCCCUUUUAGAAGCAGGCUACGGGGUAACAGACUCUGCACAAAACUGCAGCAGAGCCACAAACAACGAAGAGUUGUUCGGUAGAGUGACAGAGGCAAGCGUUGCUAUUGGCAAUGGAGGGCGGCUGAAUUCAUCUGAAGGCGAAACUGCUUUGAUAAAUGGAAGGAUUAGGAACGUGGGGGGAGCGCACACUGAAGUUACUCCUGUCCAAAAGACGUGCUUGGAGAACGUGAGCCUCCAAAGAAGAAAGAAAAGGAGAGGGAGAAAAUGGCCGAACCGGAAGAAAUGGAGGACGUGGCAGGAAGUGAUGACAGCGUCUCAGCAAGCCAAGAUGGAAGAAGAGCAAUUGGAAGCCCAGUGCAGGGGCCCCUCAGAGUCAGGGGAUUCACGGCCCGGGGUACAGAAGAGCACACUUUAGUGAGAAGGAGGAGCCUAGUGAUCAGAGUUGUACAGUGUAGAUGCCAGGGAAAUAAAGAC